rnacentral:misc_RNA from 1 species
GAUGAAGAACGUAGUGAAAUGCGAUAAGUAAUGUGAAUUGCAGAAUUCAGUGAAUCAUCGAAUCUUUGAACGCACAUUGCGCCCGCCAGUAUUCUGGCGGGCAUGCCUGUUCGAGCGUCAUUUCAACCCUCAAGCUCAGCUUGGUGUUGGGACUCGCGGUAACCCGCGUUCCCCAAAUCGAUUGGCGGUCACGUCGAGCUUCCAUAGCGUAGUAAUCAUACACCUCGUUACUGGUAAUCGUCGCGGCCACGCCGUAAAACCCCAACUUCUGAAUGUUGACCUCGGAUCAGGUAGGAAUACCCGCUGAACUUAAGCAUAUCAAUAAGCGGAGGA